UUGGGGGGGCGGAGAAUCGCUCCCCGGCGCAAGCCGGGGGGAGGAAAGUCCGAACACCACCGGGCGCGAUGCCGCGUAACCCCGGCCUGUUGGGCGGGGAUACACGCGGGCGGGCGGCGUCAAGGCCGCCGGACGGACAGUGCCACAGAGAAGAGACCGCCCGCGCCGUUACGGCACGGGCAAGGGUGAAAAGGUGCGGUAAGAGCGCACCGCGCGAAGCGCAAGCGACGCGGCACGGAAAACCCCAUCGGGUGCAAGGCCAAAUAGGGGAUCCCGGAGCGGCCCGUUCCAGGGCGGGGCAACCCGCCGGAUCCCGGGUAUGGCUGCUGAGACAAAUGAUUCUCUCCCCCGGAGUUCUCCGGGGCAGACAGAAUUCGGCUUACAGCCCUCCCAAAACC
rnacentral:RNase_P_RNA from 1 species